UUUUUGGUCAAGUUACUUACGCUUGUGAUGGAUGACUUGGUCUUGAUAGGCGAUGAAGGACGUGGCAAGCUGCGAAAAGCUGGGGUUAGUCGCAAACUGACUUUGACCCCCAGAUGUCCGAAUGGGAAAACCCUCUGCGGGUAAUGCCGCAGAAUUUGCGUCUGAAAUUUAAAAUAGGAUGCAAAAGCCACACCGGGAGAAGUGAAACAUCUCAGUACCCCGAGGAAAAGAAAAAGACAUUUAUUUCCCAAGUAGCGGCGAGCGAACGGGAAGAAGCCCAAACCUUAUUUACGUGAUAGCCCGCGUGCGUUGUAGAUAGGGGGUUAUAGGUUCUCACCUGACGGAAUGCGGAUCCGUCGGAAAGUUAUAAACCUUACUUGUAGUUGAAUGCCAUGGAAAUGGCAACCAAAGAAGGUGAUAGUCCUGUAUAUUAAACAAGUAGGGCUUUCUGGGUGGGAUACCUAAUUACUAUGGGACACGUGAAACCCCAUAGGAACUCGGCCAGACCAUUGGCCAAGGCUAAAUACUCAUCAAGGACCGAUAGUGAAAAAGUACCGUGAGGGAAAGUUGAAAAGAACCCCUGUAAGGGGAGUGAAAUAGUACCUGAAAUCACAAGCUUACAAAGCGGUGGGAGCGCUAUGACGUGUCUUCGGAUGCGUAAUGCGUGACCGCGUGCCUUUUGGAUAAUGAACCUGCGAGUUAUUUUGUUCAGCGAGGUUAAUUUCGUGAUUAAUCGUCACGAUUGAAGCCGUAGCGAAAGCGAGUCUGAAUAGGGCGAUUAAGUUGGACAAAUUAGACCCGAAACUGAGUGAUCUACCCAUGGCCAGCGCGAAGCGGCCUUAACCGGUCGUGGAGGUGCGAACCCGUCUGCGUUGAAAAGCGUUGGGAUGAGCUGUGGGUCGGAGCGAAAGACUAAUCAA
rnacentral:rRNA from 1 species